rnacentral:rRNA from 1 species
UGCAGUCGAGCGGAAACGAUCCUAGCUUGCUAGGAGGCGUCGAGCGGCGGACGGGUGAGUAAUGCAUAGGAAUCUGCCCGGUAGUGGGGGAUAACCUGGGGAAACCCAGGCUAAUACCGCAUACGCCCUACGGGGGAAAGCAGGGGAUCUUCGGACCUUGCGCUAUCGGAUGAGCCUAUGUCGGAUUAGCUAGUUGGUGAGGUAACGGCUCACCAAGGCUGCGAUCCGUAGCUGGUCUGAGAGGAUGAUCAGCCACAUCGGGACUGAGACACGGCCCGAACUCCUACGGGAGGCAGCAGUGGGGAAUAUUGGACAAUGGGCGAAAGCCUGAUCCAGCCAUGCCGCGUGUGUGAAGAAGGCCUUCGGGUUGUAAAGCACUUUCAGUGAGGAAGAAAGCCUUGAGGUUAAUACCCUCGAGGGAGGACAUCACUCACAGAAGAAGCACCGGCUAACUCCGUGCCAGCAGCCGCGGUAAUACGGAGGGUGCGAGCGUUAAUCGGAAUUACUGGGCGUAAAGCGCGCGUAGGCGGCUUGAUAAGCCGGUUGUGAAAGCCCCGGGCUCAACCUGGGAACGGCAUCCGGAACUGUCAGGCUAGAGUGCAGGAGAGGAAGGUAGAAUUCCCGGUGUAGCGGUGAAAUGCGUAGAGAUCGGGAGGAAUACCAGUGGCGAAGGCGGCCUUCUGGACUGACACUGACGCUGAGGUGCGAAAGCGUGGGUAGCAAACAGGAUUAGAUACCCUGGUAGUCCACGCCGUAAACGAUGUCGACUAGCCGUUGGGCUCCUUGAGAGCUUUGUGGCGCAGUUAACGCGAUAAGUCGACCGCCUGGGGAGUACGGCCGCAAGGUUAAAACUCAAAUGAAUUGACGGGGGCCCGCACAAGCGGUGGAGCAUGUGGUUUAAUUCGAUGCAACGCGAAGAACCUUACCUACCCUUGACAUCGAGAGAACUUUCCAGAGAUGGAUUGGUGCCUUCGGGAGCUCUCAGACAGGUGCUGCAUGGCUGUCGUC